rnacentral:rRNA from 2 species
AGUCGAGGGGUAUAGUUCUUCGGAAUUAGAGACCGGCGCACGGGUGCGUAACGCGUAUGCAAUCUACCUUUUGCAGAGGGAUAGCCCAGAGAAAUUUGGAUUAAUACCUCAUAGUAUAGCAGUUUCGCAUGAAACCACUAUUAAAGUCACAACGGCAAAAGAUGAGCAUGCGUCCCAUUAGCUAGUUGGUAAGGUAACGGCUUACCAAGGCUACGAUGGGUAGGGGUCCUGAGAGGGAGAUCCCCCACACUGGUACUGAGACACGGACCAGACUCCUACGGGAGGCAGCAGUGAGGAAUAUUGGACAAUGGGCGCAAGCCUGAUCCAGCCAUGCCGCGUGCAGGAUGACGGUCCUAUGGAUUGUAAACUGCUUUUGUACAGGAAGAAACACUCCCUCGUGAGGGAGCUUGACGGUACUGUAAGAAUAAGGAUCGGCUAACUCCGUGCCAGCAGCCGCGGUAAUACGGAGGAUCCAAGCGUUAUCCGGAAUCAUUGGGUUUAAAGGGUCCGUAGGCGGUUUAGUAAGUCAGUGGUGAAAGCCCAUCGCUCAACGGUGGAACGGCCAUUGAUACUGCUAGACUUGAAUUAUUAGGAAGUAACUAGAAUAUGUAGUGUAGCGGUGAAAUGCUUAGAGAUUACAUGGAAUA